rnacentral:rRNA from 1 species
CCUACGGGUGGCAGCAGUGAGGAAUAUUGGUCAAUGGUCGGGAGACUGAACCAGCCCAGCCGCGUGAGGGAUGAAGGUACAGAGUAUCGUAAACCUCUUUUGUCAGUGAACAAAGGCGGGGACGUGUCCCCGGCUGAGUGUACCUGAAGCAACAGCAUCGGCUAACUCCGUGCCAGCCGCCGCGGUACUACGGAGGAUGCGAGCGUUAUCCGGAUUUCGUGGGUUUAAGGGGUGCGCAGGCGGUCUGUUAAGUCAGCGGUCAAAGCCCGGGGCUCAACCCCGGCCCGCCGUUGAAACUGGCAGUCUCGAGUUGGAGAGAAGUAUGCGGAAUGCGCGGUGUAGCGGUGAAAUGCAUAGAUAUCGCGCAGAACUCCGAUUGCGAAGGCAGCAUGCCGGCUCCACACUGACGCUGAGGCACGAAAGCGUGGGUAUCGAACAGGAUUAGAUACCCUUGUAGUC